GGGGAUAUAGCUCAGUGGUAGAGCACCCUUGGGUUCAAUUCCUAAUACCAUCA
rnacentral:tRNA from 1 species